rnacentral:rRNA from 1 species
GACGUAGGGCGCGAGCGUUGUCCGGAUUUAUUGGGCGUAAAGAGCUCGUAGGCGGCUUGUCGCGUCGACUGUGAAAACCCGUGGCUCAACCAUGUGGUCUGCAGUCGAUACGGGCAGGCUAGAAUUCGGUAGGGGAGACUGGAAUUCCUGGUGUAGCGGUGAAAUGCGCAGAUAUCAGGAGGAACACCGGUGGCGAAGGCGGGUCUCUGGGCCGAAACUGACGCUGAGGAGCGAAAGCGUGGGGAGCGAACAGG